UACGAAGGGGGCUAGCGUUGUUCGGAAUUACUGGGCGUAAGGGCGCGCAGGCGGUUUUGUAAGCCAGAUGUGAAAUCCCCGGGCUUAACCUGGGAAUGGCAUUUGGGACUGCAAGGCUUGAGUGCGGCAGAGGAGACUGGAAUUCCUGGUGUAGCAGUGAAAUGCGUAGAUAUCAGGAGGAACACCGAUGGCGAAGGCAGGUCUCUGGGCUGACACUGACGCUCAUGCACGAAAGCGUGGGGAGCAAACAGG
rnacentral:rRNA from 1 species